ACAGAGGACAUAAAUCCUGUUGGCUGUCUGGAGCGACUGACCCUUUUUACAUAUCCUGGCUGUGCCAAAGAGUCGAACAGAGAGGAACACUGUGCCCUAAAGAGACCCAUCACUGCUUUCAGCAGAGAGCAACAGGAAAUGCUCUGGCUUCAGGCCUGCCAACCGGCCUUUCAGAGAAAACAGACCCAGACUGUUGGUGAAGAAGACAGAAAGUGAUCUCACACAAACAUUAUUUAUGUCAACCACCUUUCAUGUACUUGACAGCUUAAUGAGGCCAAAUUUAUGAGUAUACUGUAGGUUUUGAAGUGAAUAGGCUCACAUAAUUCAACAAGUUUAUAAGGCCCAAUCAGGGCAGGUCUGCAGAACAAUUUUUCUUUAUAUAUUAGUGAAGGCUCCCAGCAUUAAAAAAAUAAGCUGUGAGAAGAGAUAAUCAGUCUGAUUAAGUUUUCCUCCAGGAUCAUUAUCCUUGACAAUCACUCCUCACUGUCAAAACUAACUACAGCAAACUUUUCUCAUCCUACAUAAUAACUACAAAUUAAACGAUUGUCUAGUUUCAUUGUACAAGCUAACUACAGGAAAGCACAUUUGCGCAAAGCGCACGUUUUCUCAGUAUGAAUCUUGAAGUAGAGGACAGGACUGUUUACAUGAACCCUAAUAAUUAGUUUUUAUUCAGACUCACAGCCUAUUCUGAAUAAAAAGUUCUCAUGUAAUCACAUUAUUUGGAAUAAAAUGUCUAAAUGUG